rfam:Clostridium botulinum A str. ATCC 3502 complete genome
UACUUAUCAAGAGAGGCGGAGGGACUGGCCCUGUGAAGCCCAGCAACCUAUAUGAAAGUGAAUAUAAGGUGCUAAAUCCUGCAGCAUAAGCUGAGAGAUGAGGA